AGUAGGGUUUCUUGUCACGGUAGCGCCGAAUGAAGAGAAAUUUGAGCAACAUAUCUCAUCACAGUUCUCGAUUGAUAGCACAAGUAAUCUCUCUCGCCGCUUUCUUUUCCGAAAACAAUAGAACGAUGGUCACUCUAAAAGGCCUUGGUUGGUAGCACAAGGCAGCCACAAAUUAAUAAGAGGCAUUGUAGUAUGGGUCUACAAUAUUUGUUUCAGAGUGAGGAUUUAAACUAUACUCUCUGGUAUUGUUUUAUUUGUCAGCUGGUAAAAAAAAACUUUGGGUUAAAUAAUUUUUUUAGUUUUUAUUAAUAUAUCAUGUUUUGUUUUUAAUUAUUUAAAAUUUUUCUUUAAAUAGUUUUUGAAAUAUACGAUGGGACAAAAGUUUCAACCGUGGAGUUCGAAUUCUAUGAGAAUAGAUCUCUCUAUUUUUGUUUUCUUUCAAUUUUUUUCAAUUUUUAAUCACAACCAUUAACCAACUUCUCUAUUUUUUUAAAAAAAAUUCAACCAUAUCCCUCUUUUUAAAAAAUAAAAAUAAAAAAAUUAUCGGAGUUCUAUACUAAACAUGUAGUAAAUCUCUCAAUCAUUAAUGAAACAAGUUUUGCACCACAAUUGUUUUGAUGAGAGGAAGCCAAUAUACUGUUCUUUUGUGGAUGGAGGAUGACUUAUGUACCUAAAGGACCUUACACAAGGACCAAUUGAACAAGAGAUGCCUUAGAAAUUUUAAACAUUCAAACAUUGACAAAGUGAGAGAAGAUAUUUGUUUAUUUCAAAAAAUCAUUCGCAAAAUCCUCAUGUGCAUAUAGCUAGCAUGUUCGAUAGUCAACAGUUUAAACAAGAGUU